CACGUAGGGCGCAAGCGUUGUCCGGAAUUAUUGGGCGUAAAGAGCUCGUAGGCGGUCUGUCACGUCUGCUGUGAAAACCCGGGGCUUAACCCUGGGCUUGCAGUGGAUACGGGUAGACUAGAGGCAGGUAGGGGAGAAUGGAAUUCCCGGUGUAGCGGUGAAAUGCGCAGAUAUCGGGAGGAACACCGGUGGCGAAGGCGGGUCUCUGGGCCGAUAUUGACGCUGAGGAGCGAAAGCGUGGGGAGCGAACAGG
rnacentral:rRNA from 1 species